CAUUUGCACGGGCAAGUGUAGAAGAUUGCUAGGGGAGGGGAACAAAUAUCCUCUAGCUCUCUCUCUUGUAGGGUAGAAUAAAUCGCUCUCCAAAGUUGAUUUAAUAACCCACUUAAGAUGGACUUAAAUAGGCUUUAAGAGAAGUUUAGUUCCCUUUCCUAGAAGGAUCUAAUUUCCUAUUAAAGAGGGAAUCUACAUCAAGAUAGGAAACAAGCCUAAGUUUCCUAAAGCAAGAAAAUCUCUACACCUGUUGCCCUUUUCUACGAGCAAUCGAACAGGUGUUGGGGCAUUUGUGGAGAAAAAAAUAAUCAAGAGACGACACGUGGACUUUUGGGUGAAAUGACGAAAUUACCCUUGAGGCACACCGGGAUUCUUACGUGUGAGCAGUGGACAAUCAUCCUCCAAUCAAGUCAAAAGUGCCCAAAUAGGUAUUUAUUUAUAUUCUAUUUCAUCCAUCCCUCAUCAUAUCUUCUCCACAAGGUAACCUCUAAAUCAUUCCUUUUUUAUUAUAUUAAUUAGCUAAAUUAAUUGAUUAAUUAUUCAAUUAAUUAACCAAUUAAACACAAAUCAUGAACCUAGACCACAAAACCAUCCAAGUGGCCGGGCACUCCCCUAUAUAAACCCUAUCAUUCUCUCCGAAACUCAAUUCCAAUUCUCUUGCUAAAUUCUCUAAAUUAUCCAAACACUUUUCCCUCAAAAUUCUAACUUUUGCAUUGGAGGUUCUUCGGCCAAAGCCCCCCUCCCCCCAAACCCACCCCCUCCAUUCAUUGUGGGCGCAUGAGGCUCUUGGCCUUGACCUAAGGUGUUAUUUGUUUUGUAGGUGCAAUUUUGUCCAAGAACAAUGAGGAAGAAAUUUGCAUCCACAAGUAUCCUAACACUUAUUUUUUAACAAAGUACCCUAACACUUAGAACAAUAUAUUUAAGACACCAGGCCCUUUAUGCAAAGGAAUCCUCAUUUUUAUCAAAAAAAUGGGGAUUAGGCAUGGGUCCACUCCACAUCGAACUUUAAACAGUCUAUUU
rnacentral:lncRNA from 1 species